GCGCGGAUAGCUCAGACUUAGAGCGCCGGCCUUGUAAGCCGAAGGUCGGGGGCGAAACUCCCCCUCCGCGCU
rnacentral:tRNA from 1 species